rnacentral:rRNA from 1 species
UUGUGCCAGCCGCCGCGGUAAUACGAAGGGGGCUAGCGUUGCUCGGAAUCACUGGGCGUAAAGGGUGCGUAGGCGGGUCUUUAAGUCAGGGGUGAAAUCCUGGAGCUCAACUCCAGAACUGCCUUUGAUACUGAGGAUCUUGAGUCCGGAAGAGGUGAGUGGAACUGCGAGUGUAGAGGUGAAAUUCGUAGAUAUUCGCAAGAACACCAGUGGCGAAGGCGGCUCACUGGUCCGGUACUGACGCUGAGGCACGAAAGCGUGGGGAGCAA